AUUGAACGCUGGCGGCAGGCUUAACACAUGCAAGUCGAGCGAGCGGCGGACGGGUGAGUAAUGUCUGGGAAACUGCCUGAUGGAGGGGGAUAACUACUGGAAACGGUAGCUAAUACCGCAUACCAUCAGAUGUGCCCAGAUGGGAUUAGCUAGUAGGUGGGGUAACGGCUACCCUAGGCGACGAUCCCUAGCUGGUCGGAGAGGCAGACCGGCCACACUGGAACUGAGACACGGUCCAGACUCCUACGGGAGGCAGCAGUGGGGAAUAUUGGAAAAUGGGCGAAAGCCUGAUGCAGCAAUGCCGCGUGUAUGAAGAAGGCCUUCGGGUUGUAAAGUACUUUCAGCGAGGAGGCGGUACCCGCAGAAGAAGCACCGGCUAACUCCGUGCCAGCAGCCGCGGUAAUUC
rnacentral:rRNA from 1 species